rnacentral:rRNA from 1 species
GAACCUGGCGGCGUGCUUAACACAGGCAAGUCCGAACGACGAGCCCAGCCUCUGGUGGAAUAAGUGGCGAACGGCUGAGUACAACGGUGAGUAACCUGCCCUCGACUUCGGGGAUAACUCCGGGAAACCGGGGCUAAUACCGGAUAUGAGCUACCUUCGCAUGGGGGUGGUUGGAAAGUUUUUCGGUCAGGGAUGGGCUCGCGGCCUAUCAGCUUGUUGGUGGGGGAAGGCCCAACAAGGCGACGACGGGUAGCCGGCCUGAGAGGGCGACCGGCCACACUGGGACUGAGACACGGCCCAGACUCCUACGGGAGGCAGCAGUGGGGAAUAUUGCACAAUGGGCGAAAGCCUGAUGCAGCGACGCCGCGUGAGGGAUGAAGGCCUUCGGGUUGUAAACCUCUUUCAGCAGGGAAGAAGCGCAAGUGACGGUACCUGCAGAAGAAGCGCCGGCUAACUACGUGCCAGCAGCCGCGGUAAUACGUAGGGCGCAAGCGUUGUCCGGAAUUAUUGGGCGUAAAGAGCUCGUAGGCGGUUUGUCGCGUCUGGUGUGAAAACUCGAGGCUCAACCUCGAGCUUGCAUCGGGUACGGGCAGACUAGAGUGCGGUAGGGGAGAACCUGGGAAUUCCUGGUGUAGCGGUGGAAUGCGCAGAUAUCAGGAGGAACACCGAUGGCGAAGGCAGGUCUCUGGGCCGCAACUGACGCUGAGGAGCGAAAGCAUGGGGAGCGAACAAGGAUUAGAUACCCUGGUAGGUCCAUGCCGUAACACGUUGGGCACUAGGUGUGGGGCUCAUUCCCACGAGUUUCCGUGCCGAAGCAACGCUUUAAGUGCCCCGGCCUGGGG